UACGUAGGGGGCAAGCGUUGUCCGGAAUCAUUGGGCGUAAAGCGCGUGUAGGCGGCCCGGUAAGUCCGCUGUGAAAGUCCAGGGCUCAACCCUGGGAUGCCGGUGGAUACUGUCGGGCUCGAGUCCGGAAGAGGAGUGUGGAAUUCCUGGUGUAGCGGUGAAAUGCGCAGAUAUCAGGAGGAACACCAAUAGCGAAGGCAGCACUCUGGGACGUGACUGACGCUGAGACGCGAAAGCGUGGGGAGCAAACAGG
rnacentral:rRNA from 1 species